GAUGAACGCUGGCGGCGUGCCUAAUACAUGCAAGUCGAGCGAACGGACGAGAAGCUUGCUUCUCUGAUGUUAGCGGCGGACGGGUGAGUAACACGUGGAUAACCUACCUAUAAGACUGGGAUAACUUCGGGAAACCGUAGCUAAUACCGGAUAAUAUUUUGAACCGCAUGGUUCAAAAGUGAAAGACGGUCUUGCUGUCACUUAUAGAUGGAUCCGCGCUGCAUUAGCUAGUUGGUAAGGUAACGGCUUACCAAGGCAACGAUGCAUAGCCGACCUGAGAGGGUGGUCGGCCACACUGGAACUGAGACACGGUCCAGACUCCUACGGGAGGCAGCAGUAGGGAAUCUUCCGCAAUGGGCGAAAGCCUGACGGAGCAACGCCGCGUUAGUGAUGAAGGUCUUCGGAUCGGAAAACUCUGUUAUUAGGGAAGAACAUAUGUGUAAGUAACUGUGCACAUCUUGACGGUACCUAAUCAGAAAGCCACGGCUAACUACGUG
rnacentral:rRNA from 1 species